rnacentral:rRNA from 1 species
AGGACGAACGCUGGCGGCGUGCUUAACACAUGCAAGUCGAGCGGAAAGGCCUUUCGGGGUACUCGAGCGGCGAACGGGUGAGUAACACGUGAGUAAUCUGCCCAUCGCUUCAGGAUAGCCAUCGGAAACGGUGAUUAAUACUGGAUAUGACAUUCCUUCGCAUGUUGGGGUGUGGAAAGUUUUUUCGGCGGUGGAUGUGCUCGCGGCCUAUCAGCUUGUUGGUGGGGUAAUGGCCUACCGAAGGCUUUGACGGG